rnacentral:rRNA from 1 species
GAAUCUGCCUGGUAGUGGGGGAUAACGUCCGGAAACGGACGCUAAUACCGCAUACGUCCUACGGGAGAAAGCAGGGGACCUUCGGGCCUUGCGCUAUCAGAUGAGCCUAGGUCGGAUUAGCUAGUUGGUGGGGUAAUGGCUCACCAAGGCGACGAUCCGUAACUGGUCUGAGAGGAUGAUCAGUCACACUGGAACUGAGACACGGUCCAGACUCCUACGGGAGGCAGCAGUGGGGAAUAUUGGACAAUGGGCGAAAGCCUGAUCCAGCCAUGCCGCGUGUGUGAAGAAGGUCUUCGGAUUGUAAAGCACUUUAAGUUGGGAGGAAGGGCAGUAAAUUAAUACUUUGCUGUUUUGACGUUACCGACAGAAUAAGCACCGGCUAACUCUGUGCCAGCAGCCGCGGUAAUACAGAGGGUGCAAGCGUUAAUCGGAAUUACUGGGCGUAAAGCGCGCGUAGGUGGUUCGUUAAGUUGGAUGUGAAAUCCCCGGGCUCAACCUGGGAACUGCAUUCAAAACUGACGAGCUAGAGUAUGGUAGAGGGUGGUGGAAUUUCCUGUGUAGCGGUGAAAUGCGUAGAUAUAGGAAGGAACACCAGUGGCGAAGCGACCACCUGGACUGAUACUGACACUGAGGUGCGAAAGCG